AGWCAGRCCCGAAAGGUCGAAAGAGGAAAUUCAUUCGCGUUUCGACUGUCGAAGUUGAAUGUUUGUAUGACGGGUAGCGUUUCGGCGUUGUUCGCUUCUUACGUUCUUCGUGUCGAUGUCGAACGCGUGCACUUUUCCUCUAGUAGGACGUCGCGAUCCGUUGGGUGUCUGUCUAAGACUCGAGGUGGAGCCCGCGUAAUUUUUAAUUACGUGGACCCUUGAUGUUCCGACAGACUCGCUCGACGGUAUAUAAAUGGCGCGGGGCCGCUACUUAAGUUAGCGUUCGGCCCGUAGCAAGCACGUUCUGUGUUUGACGGCGAUCGGACCUGGUGCCGAUUCUGUCCCAGAACGACUGUUGGUUACGGUGUUCUCGAACAGACCUCGUAUGAAACGCCGAUCAGCGACGCUCUAGAUUUGGGUACUUUCAGGACCCGUCUUGAAACACGGACCAAGGAGUCUAGCAUGUGCGCGAGUCAUUGGGAUAUAACUAAACCUAAAGGCGUAAUGAAAGUAAAGGUUUACCUUGCGUAGACCGAGGGAGGAUAAGCGGUUUGCCCUUAAAGUGACCGCUUCGCACUCCCGGAGUGUCUCAUUCUCAUUGCGAGAAGAGGCGCAUCAAGAGCGUACACGCUGGGACCCGAAAGAGGUGAACUAUGCCUGGUCAGGAC
rnacentral:rRNA from 1 species